rnacentral:lncRNA from 1 species
ACUGGAGAAAUGCAGGUAAUCUCUAUACUAGACAAGUUCAGAUAGAAGGUGAAACCCUGGCUCUUCAGGUUCAAGACACUCCAGGUAUUCAGGUGAGAAGCAACAGCCUGAGCUGCAGUGAACAGCUGAAUAGGUGCAUUCGCUGGGCAGAUGCUGUGGUGAUCGUUUUCUCCAUCACUGACUACAAGAGCUAUGAACUCAUCAGCCAGCUCCACCAGCACGUGCAGCAGCUACACCUGGGCACCCGGCUGCCUGUGGUGGUCGUGGCCAACAAAGCUGACCUGUUGCACAUCAAACAGGUUGACCCUCAGCUUGGACUGCAGCUAGCAGUACACCCGAGAAGCGAAGAACCUCCCUCAUUCCCAGGCCCAAGUCACCCAACAUGCAGGACCUGAAGAGGAGGUUUAAGCAAGCCCUCUCUGCCAAAGUGAGGACUGUCACCUCCGUCUGAAGCAGGAGGAGCACUCAAGGGGGUUUGGUCUUCCCAGGAAGAGGGCCUGAGGUUCUCCUAGUGCAGGAACGUUGAAUAUUGGCAAUGAUUCCUGGUUCCAGAAAGGGCUGGAGCAGAAGGGCCAAGAGGGCCUGUGGAACUGCUACAGAAAAGGAAGUGUUGUUCUGAGCAGGGGGACAGGAUUGAUGAGGCUUGAAAGAGCCCACUGAGCCACUCUCUGAAUAUGUGAAAUGUACUCUGUGUCUUUUCCUUUAGAGUGGGGAGGGGGCAUAAUCGUUUCGGUUUCUGCAUUCAACUACCUUGUAAAUGGUGGUCCGUUGCAGUUUCACCAAAUGUAUUGAUGUGAUUUACAGUGGGAAUGAAAGAACAGAUUAAGCAUUGAUAGGCUUUCUUUUUUCCCCCUUUUUUCUUUUUUCUCUUUUCUUCUUUCUUUUCCUCUUUUUCCCCAAGAGGAAGAAUUGCUUUUCUCUUACCAGUAUGAUUUGUAACUCUGGAACACUAUUCUUACAGAAUGCCUUUCUAACCUGAAGGAUACCCAGAUUUCUUUCUUUAUGUACAAGAUGGAAAAUCCCCUACCCCUCAAAAACAGGUUGAGUUUAUGGGCCAGAAUAUUUUGUAUACCAGACAUUGGUAAGCUCUCAUGGUUUACAGGAAGGCUCUGGUUCCCCCUCACAGGAUGAGCAUGCUCAGUUGGGCGUGUGUGGAGGAGCUGUGAACUUCACGCUCUUCAACCCCAGACUUUGACUGUAUAGUUUUUUGUUUUUUUAACUGUUCCAUCAGGAAAAAAAUGUGUCAGUUGAUUUUGGUGUGACUUGUGUAAAUGGUUCAUGGCAAUGACGUUGGGUUGCUUCCUAGGCCUGGCUGAGUUGUGCCUAAGGGUGGCUGAAAUACUAAAACACUUAUCUUACAGCAAGUGAACAGGGGCUACCUGCCACAUCCCCUCCACAGAUGCACUUUAAAAAGCCACUCAUGCUUUGGCUUAAACUGUAAUUAAUUUAUUUUAUGUACAAUAAAUCGCAUUUGAAAAAGAGCAGAUGUCUAACUUCGUCUCUAUUGAAACGUUAACUUUCUGCCGUUUAGACAAAGUAUGACCUAGUAUCCUGUGAUUAUUGGGCACAUUGAAUCUGGCAUUGUGCCUUUCAGGGGUUAUCUCUCAAGGAUCACAGCAAUCCAAGGAGGUGCAUUCUAGUAUUAUCCCCAUAAUACAGAUGAGGAAACAGGCUUAUAGAACAAGAUCAGUAACUUGUCAAAGGCCACAGCCUGUAGCAUUGUAAACUGCAAUUUGCUGCUUUAUAUUCAAGAGUAGCUGAUCUUCUAUUCACUAACUUUGUGGUCUUCCAGGUAUACCUAAGACAGAUGUCUGGCUCCACAUAGUCAGCACAGCCUCGAGCGUAUUCUUUCUUGGACACUGAGAUGACUGCUUCUUUACACAUGCUUUGUUGGCAGACCUCUUCUUUGGGUAUGCUGCUUUCAGGAGAUUCACUUUAUUCUCACUGUAGAAGCUUGCAGUCAUUGAUCUGGGGCUGUGAAAUCAGGAGCCAGUCCCAUGGACCUUUGCCACACGUGUCUCGCUAAAGCUGCCAGCUCUCUCAUCUAUGCCACUUGGGCCUAGAAGCUCUUUCCUGCAAGCUAAGUGAGCCACCAUCUACAGGGGGAAAUAAUCACAGCUGACAUUUCUUUGAGUAGUGCUUUCACAUACCUGAUCUCAUUUAAGGCCCAGGAGAACCCAGGAGAAUACUGUGGGGUAUUGACACCAUUUUACAGAUGAGGAAGACAGGCUCUAAGUUUUGAGUGAUGUCUUCAAAUUCACACAAAGGAGCUGAACCAAUGCCACCUGACUAUAUUUACUGUUCUUAGUCUUUUAGAGCAUGUCAUAGCUAAGACACUCUGGCAUGCGUGGGGCGAUGGAGCCACAGUGAAUAGCAGUUGAGGGGCUACUGUGGGGUGGUGCCAGGAUUUCCAAUCAGUGUUCCCACAGGGUACAGAUCCUCACAGCUGACAGCGUUUCCAGUGAUGCCUCAAACCUUCCUAAUAUGCAAGGUAACUUUCUAUGCUUUCAGCCUAACCUCAUCUCUGAGAAGGGUGUGUGUGUUGGGGGUGGGCAGGGAAACGGCGCUAACAUGGGACUGAAAACAUCUCAGUUCAAGGGUAGUGACAAGUAUCUCCAACUGGAUUCUAUUCACUUUUAUUUCUAUUCAGCCAAUGUGGUUGUGUUAACAAUGUCCAGUGAGUGAGAGGUUGAUCUUUAUAUAUUUACUGAAGAGCCCUUCCCCACAUUCUGGAAUUAAAUAAGAGUUUUCCUGCAGGUGGCUUUAUGCUCCCGAGGCACUGAGCAGUGCUGCACUUCAGUGACCACUGCCGCGCCACCGCCCCCUUUUCUUCCCACCAGCUUCCAGGCUGCAGGGCUCUGGCAGCCCUUGUCUGCUCCCUUGCUGAGCUGUGAGCUCCACCUUCUCCCUUCCUGGCCCCGCAGCUAGCGAUUGCCCCUUACUUCCUCACCCCUGUACUGGACUCAGUGCCUCCUACUGCACCUUAGACAGGCUGGAAGGGAGCUCAGAGCUCUGGCGCACCCAGAGGGAUAAAGUGGCUUGUGCAAGGCCACUCUAGGAGAGAGAGAGUGGGGAGAGA